rnacentral:snRNA from 1 species
GGUUACAAGGUCUAUUUACUAUUUGUCACCCUAUUGAUUGUCUAUUUGACUGAUCUGGCUGGCUAGGCUUAUUCCCUCAUUCCAUAUGUGUUCCUCAAAGAUAUUUUCUUAGUCAAAAAAAAAUGACCUUUUGUGGUAGAAGUAUAUUCACACUGUUCCUCCAUGAUGGGUGUAUGAGCAAAUCAGCUUUCCUGAUAGAAAAAAGUUUCCAAGGUUCAUUUGUACAGCAUUGUGUUAAAAAUUAAAUUUUUAAACCUUCAGACAAGUCCAAAUGAGGUACUUCUCUUGGUAGUCUAAUUUUCUAA